GCUUCGAUAUGCAAUUUUUCUGCCAUGCACUAUAUUUUAUUAAAUAUUGCUGUGUCUGGAUUCUGUAUAACAGAAGAAGACCAUAGAAAGUGUGGAAAAAACGUGGGUUGCUGUACUUAGUCGCCCCAGCCUCUUUCUUUUUCUCCUCGUGACCGUCAGAGUGACCGGCAGUGGAAAAAGAAGUCUUGUAGAGCUGACCCAGCUCUAUAAACCAAGGUCAAGCCAAAGUCAAAGCCUAGUGCAAGUGCCAAGUGCGGCUCAAAGUGAUCAUUUAAUUUAGUGGACGCGCCAGUUAUAUAUUGCCAAGGCUGGGGCAGCCGUUCGACCAUUUGGGAAAACGAGCGCCCACAGUGUACUAAAAUAUUUCGAAACAGUGGUGCAAUUCUGUUGAGGAUUAGCACCACUAGUAUCUACGUAUUGAAACGCUGGUCUAGAAGUUACGGAUUGGUUAUUCCCGGAGACCUCUAUUGGACACGUGCCCGUACCACCGGUUAAACCCCACCGUUUGACAUUCGGAUGAGGCGGUAGCCGAGGGCAUGGACUUGCUCCUCCAGUAAACCCGAUCGGUGGGCUCUGCAAGCGUCGCCGGGACCCGUUCGACCCAUGGGGAUGAUCUGACUGACUCUUCAAAUACACCAGUCGCCCCACGAGCCAUCAAGUGUGCGGGUGUACCUAACCUCACGCCGCAGAUGGACCGCGGUCAUUGACCCUUGGCAUCGGAAGCAGCAGAAUUUACCGGCGCCCGGUACAAUCGUGUGCCACCUUCAGACCUCGAGUAGGAACUCGGUCUCCAGCCGGGAAGCAUCGACCCCGCCUCGGAUUUAGUUAUAUUUUCUAUCUUUCUUUCGACAUUAGACCCGAUAUGCGAAACCCUGUUUUUUUAUCCGCUUUCUGUUUAACUACGUUCUUUUGAUACGGAAAAAAUUUGCAACGGCCAAUUAAAUCCGGUAUAAACAAAAAGGGAAUUCCUAUCCAUGGGCUAAAUCGAACUUGAACAAAUGAGUAGUGUAUUAAUACCGAUUAUUUUUACAGUUUUUUGAUUUUGGUUGCCACGCAUUCAUCUCAUCAUCUAUGCAGAUACUCAUCACAAUCACACACAUCAUCAUACUCCUCCACCCAUCAAAUCAUCUCAUCCAACACACAACGAAAGAUCUUUCUGCGUGGGAGUCAAAGCUAUUAAUCGUAUCGUAAGUGAUUAUCCUGAACCAAGUAAGCCAUCGGAAAAGAAUAAAUGUGCGGUGACUAUUCGUUGGUCUUCAACCAUGAUCACGGUCUUAUACACAUAUUACUCAUGCCUUUAAGCGGUUUUCCAUAUACCCUAUUUUUGUCUGGUUUUGGCACUGACCAAGUUUACGUAAUGAAGUUUGAAGUUUUCUUGUUCCUAUGAUGAAUACAUAACCUAGCUCGUGCAUUUAUAUAUACCUACUACUAAUCAUUUUUAUAGAUUUAAGAUCAUUAUACCCUACCUCGCCCCUAUGAUAUUUUUUCAACAGUAUAUGCUGUAUAGUAAUACCCUAUAAAUGUAAGACAAUAUCGAAUAGCAGGCUUAUAUUAGGGACUAAAUUUAAAUUAGGGAUUUAAAUGAAUAACUAUGGAUUGCUUAAAUAAAGUUAGUUUGGAAAUGAA